rnacentral:misc_RNA from 1 species
GAUGAAGAACGCAGCGAAAUGCGAUAAGUAAUGUGAAUUGCAGAAUUCAGUGAAUCAUCGAAUCUUUGAACGCACAUUGCGCCCCCCAGUAUUCUGGCGGGCAUGCCUGUUCGAGCGUCAUUUCAACCAUCAAGCCCUGCUUGUGUUGGGGUCCUGCGGCUGCCCGCAGGCCCUGAAAACCAGUGGCGGGCUCGCUAGUCACACCGAGCGCAGUAGCACAUCUCGCUCAGGGCGUGCGGCGGGCUCCAGCCGUUAAAGCACCCACCUUUCGCAAGGUUGACCUCGGAUCAGGUAGGAAUACCCGCUGAACUUAAGCAUAUCAAAAGCGGAGGA